GGAUGUGAGGGCAAUCUGGCUGUGACAUCUGUCACCCCAUUGAUUGCCAGGGUUGAUUCACCUUAUCUGGCUGUCUAGGCUGGCGUCCCCUUCCUCCCUCACUGCUCCAUGUGCGUUCCUCCUGAAGCUGUUUGCUCAGUCGAAGAGGAUGACCUUCCCCGAUAGAGGAGGACUGUUCUUCAGUCAAGGGUAUAUGGUGUAGCUGCGCUCCCCUGCUAGUACCUCCAAACAAGCGCUCAAGAUUUGUUGGGGAUCUACUAUUUGCCAGAAGUUAUAUAGGUGUUGAGGAUGCAGUGAUCAAAAAGACGUAGUCUCAGCUAUUAAGGAGAUCACAAUUUGGCAGCAAAUUAUUACAUAAUGUGGUGACUGAUCUAGU
rnacentral:snRNA from 1 species